ensembl:snoRNA
AAGCAAUAAUUGCUGUUCCUCAUUCCUUUGAGAGCAAGAAUAUAUUCAUAACAUGCUACAUUAAAAAAGGAGUUCUCAGGGCUGCCAACCUUACAGUAGGGGUUGAGUAGUAGUAUAAUUACCUUCGUUACUG